rnacentral:rRNA from 1 species
UACGUAGGGUGCGAGCGUAAUCGGAAUUACUGGGCGUAAAGCGUGCGCAGGCGGUUUUGUAAGCCAGGUGUGAAAUCCCCGGGCUCAACCUGGGAAUGGCAUUUGGGACUGCAAGGCUGGAGUGCGGCAGAGGAGACUGGAAUUCCUGGUGUAGCAGUGAAAUGCGUAGAUAUCAGGAGGAACACCGAUGGCGAAGGCAGGUCUCUGGGCUGACACUGACGCUCAUGCACAAAGCGUAGGGG